UACGUAGGGUGCAAGCGUUGUCCGGAAUUAUUGGGCGUAAAGAGCUCGUAGGCGGUCUGUCACGUCGGCUGUGAAAACCCGGGGCUCAACCCCGGGCCUGCAGUCGAUACGGGCAAACUAGAGUGCGGUAGGGGAGACUGGAAUUCCUGGUGUAGCGGUGAAAUGCGCAGAUAUCAGGAGGAACACCGGCGGCGAAGGCGGGUCUCUGGGCCGUAACUGACGCUGAGGAGCGAAAGCGUGGGGAGCGAACAGG
rnacentral:rRNA from 1 species